CCGUGUUUAAAUAAAGUUGAUGUAUGUAUGAUGUAUGUAUGUAUGACUGACCAACUGACUACACACUGUUGGCUCAUUGUCUGACUGACUGCCUAAUUGAUCAACUUCCAAAUAUAGCUAUACUUUUAAGUUAUCCAUGUUGCCCAAGGUGUGCUGCAGGAAAAUGCAUUAUAAAUAUUUAAUGUCUUAGUGCGAACACAUAAAUACCUUUUUUGUCUGAAAAUUCUUGAAAAACAUGAUCUUCCGUCGUGCGCUUUUUGUCAAGAAGUUCAAAUUUCUCCGAGUGACGCUGAAGUUCCUCCCAGUUACGUUCAACUCCCUUUGCGUUUUCGGCUGCAAGCUCUUCAAGCUUUUCAGUCCUGCAGAGCAUAUCGCGUAACUUUUUGCCAAAGUUAUCUAGCACUUCACUCAUCU